UACGUAGGGUCCGAGCGUUGUCCGGAGUUACUGGGCGUAAAGCGCGCGCAGGCGGCGGUGUUGGCCCGGCGUGAAAGCCCCCGGCUCAACCGGGGAGAGUCGUCGGGGACCGCACCGCUUGAGGGCGGUAGGGGCUGGUGGAAUGCCUGGUGUAGUGGUGAAAUGCGUAGAGAUCAGGCAGAACACCUGGGGCGAAGGCGGCCAGCUGGGCCGCAACUGACACUGAGGGACGAAAGCUAGGGGAGCGAAUGGG
rnacentral:rRNA from 1 species